GGCUCGGUGGUGGGUGGCCCAUAUCUGCAUUCCAUUACCAUUUCAUCGGCAGUUUAUGUAGAAGGAGCUCGUUCGAUUCGGGCCUGAGCCA